rnacentral:lncRNA from 1 species
GCCAAACCCAGGGACAGGACAUGGCAGUGAAAUCCAGAAAAUGAAAGAUGGCUCAUCUAGAUCCUACCUCAAAAUGGAAGUUCUGACAGGAACUUAUUAAUGGGAAAAGGAGGCCACCAAGAUGAUAUGUUGGAAUAUGUUGGAAAAUAAGAAUCAGAAAUAAGAAGGAGAGGGCAAAGAGCUGAAGAACAGAGGAAUUAGGCACUGGGGAAAAAAAACACAUGGGGAAGCACUUCCAAGUGCAACCUGAACCAGAUUAAAAUGUAUUUGGGAGAUAUUUAAAAAUAAAAAAAAUUGGACAUAAUUAAU